AUGCUUGCUUCGGCAGCACAUAUACUAAAUUAGAACAAUACAGAGAAGAUGAGCAUGGCCCCUAUGCAAGGAUGACACGCAAAUUCGUGAAGCAUUCCAUAUUUUU
ensembl:snRNA U6 U6 spliceosomal RNA